GACGAACGCUGGCGGCGUGCCUAAUACAUGCAAGUUGAGCGCUGAAGGUUGGUACUUGUACCAACUGGAUGAGCAGCGAACGGGUGAGUAACGCGUGGGGAAUCUGCCUUUGAGCGGGGGACAACAUUUGGAAACGAAUGCUAAUACCGCAUAAAAACUUUAAACACAAGUUUUAAGUUUGAAAGAUGCAAUUGCAUCACUCAAAGAUGAUCCCGCGUUGUAUUAGCUAGUUGGUGAGGUAAAGGCUCACCAAGGCGAUGAUACAUAGCCGACCUGAGAGGGUGGUCGGCCUCAAUGGGACUGAGACACGGCCCAAACUCCUACGGGAGGCAGCAGUAGGGAAUCUUCGGCAAUGGACGAAAGGCUGACCGAGCAACGCCGCGUGAGUGAAGAAGGUUUUCGGAUCGUAAAACUCUGUUGGUAGAGAAGAACGUUGGUGAGAGUGGAAAGCUCAUCAAGUGACGGUAACUACCCAGAAAGGGACGGCUAACUACGUG
rnacentral:rRNA from 1 species